rnacentral:rRNA from 1 species
CCAGCUCCAAUAGCGUAUAUUAAAGUUGUUGCAGUUAAAAAGCUGGUAGUUGGAUUUUGGAAGGUCCUUAGUAAUCCGCCCCUUCGGGGAGCGGGUUGCUGGCCUCCUAUGUUCCUAACGGUCCUCAUCCGCGAGGGUGGGGAAUCAACCGCUAGGAUCGUUUACUUUGAGGAAAUUAGAGUGUUCAAAGCAGGCGUAACUCGCCUCCGAAUACGUUAGCAUGGGAUAAUGGAAUACGACUUCGGUCUUGUUUCGUUGGUUUCGCUUGGCUGAAGUAAUGAUUGAUAGGGAUAGUUGGGGGCAUUAGUAUUUAGUUGUCAGAGGUGAAAUUCUAGGAUUUACUAAAGACUGACCAAUGCGAAAGCAUUUGCCAAGGAUGUUUUCAUUAAUCAAGAACGAAAGUAGGGGGAUCGAAGACGAUCAGAUACCGUCGUAGUCUCUACCGUAAACUAUGCCGACCAGG